rnacentral:rRNA from 1 species
GUAAGAACCUCAUCUUUCUUGAUCUGAAGAUAUCGAGGUUUAGAUAUAUUGUGCCCAGUGGGCCACUUUUGGUAAGCAGAACUGGCGCUGUGGGAUGAACCAAACGCGAUGUUACGGCGCCUAAAUUAAUGACUCAUAUUGAUACCAUGAAAGGCGUUGGUUGCUUAAAACAGCAGGACGGUGGACAUGGAAGUCGUAAUCCGCUAAGGAGUGUGUAACAACUCACCUGCCGAAGCAACUAGCCCUUAAAAUGGAUGGCGCUCAAGUCAUAUGCCUAUACAUCGCCGCUAGGACAAUGAGAUUUCAUCCUUGUGGUGCAAAUCUGUCAAGUCCUAGUGAGUAGGAGGGUACAAUGGUGUGCGCAGAAGUGUUUGGCGUGAGCCUGCAUGGAGCCGCCAUUGGCACAGAUCUUGGUGGUAGUAGCAAAUAAUCGAAUGAGAUCUUGGAGGACUGAAGUGGAGAAGGGUUUCGUGUGAACAGUGGUUGAUCACGAGUUAGUCGGUCCUAAGCUCUAUGCGAAAGCUGUUUAAUUUAUGUUACAAAAUUUCUGACCAAAUUGUCGUACAUAAUUUAAUAAGAGCGAAAGGGAAUACGGUUCCAAUUCCGUAACCUGUUGAGUAUACGUUUGUUUAUUAAAAAUGGGUCUUAUUACACUCAUCCUGGCAACAGGAACAACCAUAGAGAAGCCUUCGAGAGAUACUGGAAGAGUUUUCUUUUCUGUUGAACAAUCGUAAAACCAUGGAAGUCUUUCACAGAGAGAUAUGGUUUAUGGAUUGGAAGAGCAUGACAUUUACUGUUGUGUCAGUAUUUUCUCCUUGGACCUUGAAAAUCUAUGGUGGGGCCACGCAAACUUCUCAACAGACCGUACCGAUAUCCGCAGCCGGUCUCCAAGGUGAAGAGUCUCUAGUCGAUAGAAUA